UACGUAGGGGGCAAGCGUUGUCCGGAUUUAUUGGGCGUAAAGAGCGUGUAGGCGGCUAGGUAGGUCCGUUGUGAAAACUCGAGGCUCAACCUCGAGACGUCGAUGGAAACCAUCUGGCUAGAGUCCGGAAGAGGAGAGUGGAAUUCCUGGUGUAGCGGUGAAAUGCGCAGAUAUCAGGAAGAACACCCGUGGCGAAGGCGGCUCUCUGGUACGUGACUGACGCUGAGAC
rnacentral:rRNA from 1 species